rnacentral:rRNA from 1 species
ACUCAAAUGAAUUGACGGGGGCCCGCACAAGCGGUGGAGCAUGUGGUUUAAUUCGACGCAACGCGAAGAACCUUACCUAGGCUUGACAUACACGGGAAAGCCACCAGAAACGGUGGCCCUUCUUCGGAACCCGUGCACAGGUGCUGCAUGGCUGUCGUCAGCUCGUGUCGUGAGAUGUUGGGUUAAGUCCCGCAACGAGCGCAACCCCCGUUUCUAGUUGCCAGCGAGUUAUGUCGGGGACUCUAGAAAGACUGCCGGUGCCAAACCGGAGGAAGGUGGGGAUGACGUCAAGUCAUCAUGGUCCUUACGUCUAGGGCUACACACGUGCUACAAUGAUCGGUACAGAGGGUUGCUAACUCGCGAGAGUCCGCCAAUCCCAGAAAGCCGAUCUCAGUGCGAAUUGGAGGCUGCAACUCGCCUCCAUGAAGCUGGAAUCGCUAGUAAUCGUGGAUCAGCUACGCCACGGUGAAUACGUUCCCGGGCCUUGUACACACCGCCCGU